rnacentral:SRP_RNA from 1 species
GCUGGGCAUGGUGGUGUGCGCCUGUAAUCCUAGCUACUUGGGAGGCUGAGACAGGAGACUCACUUGAACCUGGGAGGCGGAGGUUGCAGUGAGCCGAGACUGCGCCAUUGCACUCCAGCCUGGGUGACAGAGUGAGAUUCUGUCUCAA